rnacentral:rRNA from 1 species
GAUGAACGCUGGCGGCGUGCCUAAUACAUGCAAGUCGAGCGAACAGACGAGGAGCUUGCUCCUCUGACGUUAGCGGCGGACGUGUGAGUAACACGUGGAUAACCUACCUAUAAGACUGGUAUAACUUCGGGAAACCGGAGCUAAUACCGGAUAAUAUAUUGAUCCGCAUGGUUCAAUAGUGAAAGACGGUUUUGCUGUCACUAAUAGAUGGAUCUGCGCCGCAUUAGCUGGUUGGUAAGUUAACGGCUUACCAAGGGAACGAUGCGUAGCCGACCUGAGAGGGUGGUCGCCGACCCUGGAGCUGAGACACGGUCCAGACUCCUACGGGACGCAGCAGACGGGAAUCUGCCGCAAUGGGCGAAAGCCUGACGGAGCAACGCCGAGCGAGUGAUGAAGGUCUUCGGAUCGUAAAACUCUGUUAUUAGGGAAGAACAAAUGUGUAAGUAAAUAUGCACGUAUUGACGGUACUUAAUCAGAAAGCAACGGCUAACUACGUG